rnacentral:misc_RNA from 1 species
GGAAUAUGUUUUAAAGUAUGAAAUUUUAAAAUUUAUCGAGUAUAACUUGGAGAAUAAAGAAAUUAUUAUUUACCAAAACUUCCAAAACUCUCAAAACUCACUAAUUUGUGGUGUUAAAAAAAUGAUAGCUUUGGAGGCUUUGAAAACCUUUAAAAACCCAUGAAUAAUCUUCUAUCUUUUUGAAAAAAAUCUUCCUCUCAAACAAGUGAUCUAU